CAAAUGCCUGGCACGGCCACUUCUUUGGGCGUCGUCAACAAGAAACGGUCCUUGUCCUUGUCCCUAGCUCCCUCAACAGCCAGAAACAUUCCCACGAUCCUCGCCGCAGGGCUGACGACGUCCGUCUCCCACGCGUCGCGCUGUGCCUUUGGGUUCCCGGCGUUCCCGACCUUGAGCUGAAGCACCUCCGUGACGUCGAGGCGGUGGAUGUCGCUCCAGCCUUGGAGACCGUGGAGCCGGUGGAUCUUCUGCAGCUGGCGGCGCGCCAGGCCGCACGUGUUGGCCUUGAUCUCGUUAACGGCCGCGGCGAGGAGCCGCACUCGCAGCUGAUCAUCAUCGUCGCCGUCGAGAGCCCCUGCGGCCUCCAUCCGGAAGUACAUGUCCAUCUCCGGCACGCCGAUGGCCCUCCGGAUACCCCUGGAGUAGUCGGCGUCGUCGUGCCGAAAGAAGGCCCGCACCUCGCGGACGAGCCCCUGCUCCAGCAUGCAGUCCACGCGGCUCCCUAUGUAGCGGUCCAGCACCGCCAGGUCGCUGUCGACCCAGAGGAAGCAGCAUUCGUAGCGGCCGCGGAAGCCUGCAGGAGGUUCCCCGUCCAGCAGCGCCUCCAGGUAUCUGUUGGAGCCCCCGGCGAUGAUCGGGACGCGGCCCCUCUCGAGAAUGGACUCCACAGCGCGCACGGCGUCCCUGCAGAAGUCGGCGGUGGUGUAGUCGGCGUCGGGCGCCACCCCGUCGAUAAGGUGGUGUGGCACGCCCUGGCGCUCCGCGGCGGUGACCUUGUUGGUGACCACGUCGAGGCCGUCGUGCACCUGGAUCUUGUCGGAGUUGACGACCUCUCCGCCGAAGCGCAGCGCGAGGUCGAUGGCCAGCUUGGACUUGCCGGUGGCCGUGGCGCCCAUCACCAGCACCACCUUGGCCUUGUUGUCGCCUCCGCUCGCCGUGGCACCGUUAACUCCCGCCAUCGUGAGUGUACGACUGUCUUUCACAGUGUUACCACGUACAAGCUAGCUUGUAGUAGUGUAGCGGCUGUGUAUAUGGGUGAAUGAAAAGCGUG
rnacentral:misc_RNA from 1 species